rnacentral:rRNA from 3 species
UACGGAGGGGGCUAGCGUUGUCCGAAGUUACUGGGCGUAAAGCGCGCGUAGGCGGGUUGGUAAGUCCGCUGUGAAAGCCCGGAGCUCAACUCCGGAGGGUCGGUGGAUACUGCCAGUCUUGAAGGUGCUAGGGGGAGAUGGAAUUACCGGUGUAGCGGUGAAAUGCGUAGAUAUCGGUAGGAACACCAGUGGCGAAGGCGGUCUCCUGGGGCAUUCUUGACGCUGAGGCGCGAAAGCUGGGGGAGCGAACGGG